rfam:Nicotiana sylvestris Nsyl_contig247065, whole genome shotgun sequence.
CAACGGAAGGUUCUCACCCUGUCCCCGACAUUGUUCUCCGACGAUGUCCCCGUCUCCCCCCCUCCCCCCUGAAUGAAGAAGUAGUGGGGGCCCCUUCCCGCGUAUGCGCCUUUAUUUAUAUUCUUUCUAUUUUUGAAUUACCAAUGGAGAGCGAUCAUGACAGGACUCGAGGAAGAAGCCCCGGCUAACUCCGUGCCAGCAGCCGCGGUAAGACGGGGGGGCAAGUGUUCUUCGGAAUGACUGGGCGUAAAGGGCACAUAGGCGGUGAAUCAGGUUGAAAGUGAAAGCCGCCAAAAACUGGCGGAAUGCUCUCGAAACCAAUUCGCUCAACCCUCACGGUUUAUGCUAAUUCUGCCUAAAAAUCUCUUCA